rnacentral:rRNA from 1 species
UGAGUACGAGAGGCUACGGCCUCGAAGCAGUCUAUGUCAUACUUCCAAGAAAAGCUUGCAAUGUCAUAAACAAAUAAUGCCUGUACCAUAACCGACACAGGUGGGUAGGUAGAGUAUACUAAGGGGCGCGAGAUAACUCUCUCUAAGGAACUCGGCAAAAUGACUCCGUAACUUCGGGAGAAGGAGUGCCUUAUUUAUAAGGUUGCAAUAACAAGAUCCAAGCAACUGUUUACCAAAAACACAGGUCUCCGCUAAGUCGUAAGACGAUGUAUGGGGGCUGACGCCUGCCCAGUGCCAGAAGGUUAAAGAAGUUGGUUAGCAUUAGCGAAGCUGAUAACUGAAGCCCUGGUGAACGGCGGCCGUAACGAUAACGGUCCUAAGGUAGCGAAAUUCCUUGUCGGGUAAGUUCCGACCCGCACGAAAGGCGUAAUGAUUUGGAUACUGUCUCGGAGAGAGGCUCGGUGAAAUAGACUUGUCUGUGAAGAUGCGGACUACCUGCACCUGGACAGAAAGACCCUAUGAAGCUUUACUGUAACUUGAAAUUGAAAUUGGACUUUAUUUGCGCAGUAUAGGUGGGAGGCGUUGAGAGUAUUCUUGCGGGAAUAUUGGAGCCAUCAGUGAGAUACCACUCUUGUAAUGUUAGAUUUCUAACUUUGGAUCAUUAUCUGGUCAAAGGACAGUUUCAGGCGGGCAGUUUGACUGGGGCGGUCGCCUCCCAAACGGUAACGGAGGCGUACAAAGGUUUCCUCUGAACGGGUAGAAAUCGUAUCUAGAGUGUAAAGGCAUAAGGAAGCUUGACUGUGAGACCUACAAGUCGAGCAGGGACGAAAGUCGGUCUUAGUGAUCUGACGGUGCUGAGUGGAAAGGCCGUCACUCAACGGAUAAAAGUUACUCUAGGAUAACAGGCUGAUCUCCCCCAAGAGUUCACAUCGACGGGGAGGUUUGGCACCUCGAUGUCGGCUCAUCGCAUCCUGGGGCGGUAGUACGUCCCAAGGGUUGGGCUGUUCGCCCAUGAAAGCGGUACGCGAGCUGGGUUCAGAACGUCGUGAGACAGUUCUGUCCAUAUCCGGUGUAGGCGUUAGAAUAUUGAGAGGAGCCUUCUUUAGUACGAGAGGACCGAGAAGGACAUACCUCUGGUGUACCAGUUAUCGUGCCAACGGUAAACGCUGGGUAGCUAUGUAUGGAGAGGAUAACCGCUGAAAGCAUCUAAGUGGGAAGCCCACCUCAAGAUAAG